UACGUAGGGGGCUAGCGUUGUCCGGAAUCAUUGGGCGUAAAGCGCGUGUAGGCGGUCCGGUAAGUCCGCUGUGAAAGUCGAGGGCUCAACCCUCGAAUGCCGGUGGAUACUGUCGGGCUAGAGUGCGGAAGAGGCGAGUGGAAUUCCUGGUGUAGCGGUGAAAUGCGCAGAUAUCAGGAGGAACACCAAUGGCGAAGGCAGAUCUCUGGGCCGUAACUGACGCUGAGGAGCGAAAGCAUGGGGAGCGAACAGG
rnacentral:rRNA from 1 species